CAAAACAGUUCCGAUAAGAAAUUAGAAGUUAACAGGGCAGAAAUUGUAACUCUAUACCACGGCGUGAAAACAGAUUGUGUUUGUGGACAAUUACUGCCUGGCACAAACAAGCUCAUAAAAUGAAAAUUCUCUUCUGUGUGUUUGUUGCCAUUGUCCUGGCGUCGGUUCAGGGAGCGGCGAUACUGGACACAGCUAGUCAAGACGUGACGGUUGCAACCACGCCCACCCCCUGCCCACGUCUGCCGUGUCCAUGGGUUGGGUUCUGCGAGAAGACUGCCCCAACGUACUUUGACCAUGACGGCGUCCGGUGCCGUGGCUGCGACAUAUGUGUCGUGUAGUGUGUUACAGCCGUGUUCACACACUAUCUAGCGUGUUUUAAACAGGAAAUGUGUAGCUGUUUUCACUUGAGACUGUUUAAACAAGAAGUUUUUGUUUUCAAAUAAAUUUAGUCGUGUUUGUUUUCA